UAAUACAUGCAAGUCGAGCGAACAGAAAAGGAGCUUGCUCNUUUGACGUUAGCGGCGGACGGGUGAGUAACACGUGGGCAACCUACCCUAUAGUUNGGGAUAACUCCGGGAANCCGGGGCUAAUACCGAAUAAUCUCCUUANCUUCAUGGUGAANGACUGAAAGACGGNUUCCGCUGUCGCUAUAGGAUGGGCCCGCGGCGCAUUAGCUAGUUGGUGAGGUNACGGNUCACCAANGCGACGAUGCGUAGCCGACCUGAGAGGGUGAUCGGCCACACUUGGACUGAGACNCG
rnacentral:rRNA from 1 species